rnacentral:rRNA from 1 species
GAUGAACGCUGGCGGCGUGCUUAACGCAUGCAAGUCGAACGAUGAAGCCCAGCUUGCUGCGUGGAUUAGUGGCGAACGGGUGAGUAACACGUGAGUAACCUGCCCUUAACUCUGGGAUAAGCCUGGGAAACUGGGUCUAAUACCGGAUAGGAGCGUCCACCGCAUGGUGGGUGUUGGAAAGAUUUAUCGGUUUUGGAUGGACUCGCGGCCUAUCAGCUUGUUGGUGAGGUAAUGGCUCACCAAGGCGACGACGGGUAGCCGGCCUGAGAGGGUGACCGGCCACACUGGGACUGAGACACGGCCCAGACUCCUACGGGAGGCAGCAGUGGGGAAUAUUGCACAAUGGGCGCAAGCCUGAUGCAGCGACGCCGCGUGAGGGAUGACGGCCUUCGGGUUGUAAACCUCUUUCAGUAGGGAAGAAGCGAAAGUGACGGUACCUGCAGAAGAAGCACCGGCUAACUACGUG